CAACCUGCCGAUGACUCGGGGAUAGCCUUUCGAAAGAAAGAUUAAUACCCGAUGGCAUAGUUCUUCCGCAUGGUGGAACUAUUAAAGAAUUUCGGUCAUCGAUGGGGAUGCGUUCCAUUAGGUUGUUGGCGGGGUAACGGCCCACCAAGCCUUCGAUGGAUAGGGGUUCUGAGAGGAAGGUCCCCCACAUUGGAACUGAGACACGGUCCAAACUCCUACGGGAGGCAGCAGUGAGGAAUAUUGGUCAAUGGACGAGAGUCUGAACCAGCCAAGUAGCGUGAAGGAUGACUGCCCUAUGGGUUGUAAACUUCUUUUAUACGGGAAUAAAGUGAGGCACGCGUGCCUUUUUGUAUGUACCGUAUGAAUAAGGAUCGGCUAACUCCGUGCCAGCAGCCGCGGUAAUACGGAGGAUCCGAGCGUUAUCCGGAUUUAUUGGGUUUAAAGGGAGCGUAGGCGGACGCUUAAGUCAGUUGUGAAAGUUUGCGGCUCAACCGUAAAAUUGCAGUUGAUACUGGGUGUCUUGAGUACAGUAGAGGCAGGCGGAAUUCGUGGCGUAGCGGUGAAAUGCUUAGAUAUCACGAAGAACUCCGAUUG
rnacentral:rRNA from 1 species